rnacentral:rRNA from 1 species
UACGUAGGGGGCAAGCGUUGUCCGGAAUCAUUGGGCGUAAAGCGCGUGUAGGCGGCUCGAUAAGUCUGCUGUGAAAGUCCAGGGCUCAACCCUGGGAUGCCGGUGGAUACUGUCGGGCUCGAGUCCGGAAGAGGCGAGUGGAAUUCCUGGUGUAGCGGUGAAAUGCGCAGAUAUCAGGAGGAACACCAAUGGCGAAGGCAGCUCGCUGGGACGUGACUGACGCUGAGACGCGAAAGCGUGGGGAGCAAACAGG